CCUACGGGGGGCAGCAGUGAGGAAUAUUGGUCAAUGGUCGGGAGACUGAACCAGCCAAGCCGCGUGAGGGAUGAAGGUACAGAGUAUCGUAAACCUCUUUUGUCAGGGAACAAAGGCGGGGACGCGUCCCCGGAUGAGUGUACCUGAAGAAAAAGCAUCGGCCAACUCCGUGCCAGCAGCCGCGGUAAUACGGAGGAUGCGAGCGUUAUCCGGAUUUAUUGGGUUUAUGGGGUGCGUAGGCGGUCUGUUAAGUCAGCGGUAAAAGCCCGGGGCUCAACCCCGGCCCGCAGUUGAAACUGGCAGUCUCGAGUUGGAGAGAAGUAUGCGGAAUGCGCGGUGUAGCGGUGAAAUGCAUAGAUAUCGCGCAGAACUCCGAUUGCGAAGGCAGCAUGCCGGCUCCACACUGACGCUGAGGCACGAAAGCGUGGGUAUCGAACAGGAUUAGAUACCCCAGUAGUC
rnacentral:rRNA from 1 species